UACGUAGGGGGCAAGCGUUGUCCGGAAUCAUUGGGCGUAAAGAGCGUGUAGGCGGCCUGAUAAGUCGGCUGUGAAAGUCAAGGGCUCAACCCUUGAAUGCCGGCCGAUACUGUCAGGCUAGAGUCCGGAAGAGGCGAGUGGAAUUCCUGGUGUAGCGGUGAAAUGCGCAGAUAUCGGGAGGAACACCAAUUGCGAAGGCAGCUUGCUGGGACGGUACUGACGCUGAGGCGCGAAAGCGUGGGGAGCAAACGGG
rnacentral:rRNA from 1 species